rnacentral:rRNA from 1 species
GACGAACGCUGGCGGCGUGCUUAACACAUGCAAGUCGAACGGAAAGGCCCUGCUUUUGUGGGGUGCUCGAGUGGCGAACGGGUGAGUAACACGUGAGUAACCUGCCCUUGACUUUGGGAUAACUUCAGGAAACUGGGGCUAAUACCGGAUAGGAGCUCCUGCUGCAUGGUGGGGGUUGGAAAGUUUCGGCGGUUGGGGAUGGACUCGCGGCUUAUCAGCUUGUUGGUGGGGUAGUGGCUUACCAAGGCUUUGACGGGUAGCCGGCCUGAGAGGGUGACCGGCCACAUUGGGACACGGGUACGGGCCGGACGCCUACGGGAGGAAGGGGUGGAAAAUAUUGCAAAAUGGGCGGAGGGCUGAUGGAGCAACGCCGGGUGCGGGAUGACGGCCUUCGGGUUGUAAAACGCUUUCGCCUGUGACGAAGCGUGAGUGACGGUAAUGGGUAAAGAAGCACCGGCUAACUACGU